UGUGCGCAUGCGGUUUGGAUACUUCCGGAAUUAUCACCCCAUAAUCUAGAUGACAGAAAGAUGGAAUUUUAUGAAUUUUACGCCGCUUUUUGCAUAGUAGUCGAUUGAAUGGUCCUGAGACAAUUAAACACUCUCACAAUGGCUUAAAGAAACAGUGAUUUAGCUUUAAUCAACCAAAAAAUAUACAAGAAAUCGAUCGAAUACACGGAAGAUGGCGACUAGUGUCGACCAAAACGUCCCCACACAUAAUGAUCAACCUGUCUUACAAAAUAUUCAAAAAGAAGGUACAUUGCCCAGAGAAAUAUAUAAACAAUCACCAUUAGAGCCCCAGACAAACCAAAACAUGGCUACAGAUACACUGAGGCCGUCAAGUAGUAUACAUGCUGGUAAAGACAGAGAAAAGAAGAUUGGUCACAGAAGAGUGGACCAUCACACAGGAAUGGUCACUUAUAAAAAGAAACCUACGUCCGAGUUAAUGGCUGCCAUACAGUUGGGUAUUGGACAGAGCGUGGGAGGUUUGUCAUCUAAGCCAGAGAGGGACGUUCUCAUGCAGGACUUUGCUGUUGUAGAAAGUGUCUUCUUUCCUUCAGAAGGCAGUAAUUUGACCCCAGCUCAUCAUCUGAGUGAUUUUCGAUUCAAAACAUACGCACCAAUUGCAUUUCGUUAUUUUCGUGAAUUGUUUGGAAUCCAGCCAGAUGAUUUUUUGUUAUCGUGUUGUGAUGAAGCUCUGAAGGAGUUAUCUAACCCUGGUGCCAGUGGAAGCAUUUUUUACCUGACAAAUGAUGAUGAAUUUAUUAUAAAGACAGUACAGCAUAAAGAAGCUGACUUCUUACAGAAACUUUUACCAGGCUAUUAUAUGAAUUUAAACCAGAAUCCUUGUACAUUGUUACCCAAGUUUUAUGGUCUAUACUGUUACCAGUGUGGUGGUAAAAACAUUCGAUUCGUUGUGAUGAACAAUUUACUUCCAACAACAGUGAAAAUGUCUGAAAAAUAUGAUUUAAAAGGAAGUACUUAUAAACGAAAAGCAUCCAAACACGAGCGUGAAAAAUCAGUUCCUGUGUACAAAGACUUAGACUUUAUAAAUAUACAUGCCGAUGGGAUAUAUCUGGAAAAGGACAAACAGGAACCUCUAAUGAAGACCCUUAUAAGGGACUGUCGGGUACUUGAAAGCUUUAAAAUAAUGGAUUAUAGUUUGUUAGUGGGUAUAUAUAACUUAGAUCAAGCUGAGAGAGAAAAGGGAAGAACACGAGAAGAUUCCGGGGCAGAUCAUACAGACAUUCCAACAUUAGACGGUCCGUCUCCAGAGGCAGAUUCUUCAGGUGCUAAACCCAUAAAUAAAACAGACUCCAAUGGAGAGAGUACCUCAUUAACAAGAACUAAGUCAAUGAAGACAAGGCUGGCAAAUUAUUCCACAGCUAUAGAAUCUAUACAGGCCAGAAAUGUAGAUGAUGAUGAUGAGGAGGACGAAGAUACACCGCCUGGUGGUAUUCCUGCAAAAAAUGCAAAAGGAGAAAGGUUGUUAAUAUUCCUUGGUAUAAUAGAUAUAUUACAGAGUUACCGACUGAAGAAAAAACUUGAACAUACCAUGAAAUCUAUAGUUAUAGAUGGGGAUUCUAUAUCUGUACAUAGACCUAGUUUUUACUGUCAAAGAUUCCAGGAUUUCAUGUCCAAAAGAGUUUUCAAGAAACUACAAACUCCCAUUAAGCAUUCUCCUUCCAAAAGAAAACCUACAUAUCCAAGAAGACAUGGGAAUUCUGAAGGAGAAGGUGAAACCUCAAAAUAUAGGGCAUAUAGUUACUCAGAGGAAAGUCAACCUGUCUCAGGAGCCACAGGAAGACGCCCAGAUUUAGUCCCAGAAAACUCAACUCCUCCUCCUACAUUUGCAGAGGCCCUUGACAGAGGGCCAUCACCACAACAACAAAACAGGUCACCUAACGCAUCAAGAGUUUUAUAUACAGGAAGAACUAUUUCUUCUGAAUCUGAAAACAAGCGGCUAGAUUAUUCCAGUAGUGGUAAAUUUACGGUAACAUAUCAGGAGACCCCACAGAUACCAGCGUCACCUAAUCUCAGUCUGUCAGAGUCCACGCCCACUCAUACAGAUUUUACAGAGGGUACGCCCAGUUACACGCCUUCUACACCCAGUUGUUACAGUGAAAUAGAACAAAGUUUCCAAGCUGAGCUGGACUCUGAAGCUCCAUCAUCUCAAUCUUUAUCUCCCAUUAAAUCUGUGAACAAUACAAUGAUAAGUAGUACAGAGACAUCAUAUGCCUCUGCGUUAGAAUCACAGGGACCAGAAAACCAGGAACUCAACGGUGAACUGGAUACUAAAAGUGAGGACACAACGUUAACAAACCAGGGGGGAAAUGUGAGAAACCCAACUGAAAAUCCAAGUCAGAUUGAGGAGGAGGAGGAAGAAGAAAUGCUGUAGUGAGGUAACUUUAGCUUCAUUGGUUGUGGGUAAAAAUGAUAUUACAACUAGCUGUUGACAUGACACAUUUGUAGCAUAAGGAAAACUUCCAGAUGUAAAAACUGUGAUUGAAAUAUUCCCAUGAUGCAAUACAAUAGACUCAUCCAUUGAUCAUCCACUUCCUGUUAUCCCAUAAUUCAUCUCUGAAUAGAACAUCCCAAGAAGGAACAAAUUUAUUAUUAUUUAUUUAUUUUUACUGUCAGUAAUACUGGUAUUUUAGAUCAAUUUUAUGUCAUUUAUUUAUUUUAAAUACGAUCAUUGUCUUACUGUGUGAUACAUAAAACUAUUUUGAAAACAGAAGAAGAUUGAACAUAUAUACAACAACUUGUCGAAACAUUCCUUAUAUGAAACUUUGGUGGUCAUUUAGUGCAUUGAAUGACUUAAUUGAAGGAAGGAGUUUUUUCAAAUGUACAACUUUUAAGUUUAAAAAUUUAGUGCAGAUUCAUUUUGGAUAUAAAGAAAAUGAAGCUGAUAUCAGUAUUUUUUCAAGUUGCAUUACCUGUGUGUUCUUUCCAUAUAAAUAUUAAAUGGCAUGUCAAUAUAUCUUAAAGAAGUAAAAAAAUAUCUCUAACAGUAAUUGCAUAUUCAUAACCACAACAAGAUUAUGUGGACUGCAAGAUAUCCUUCUGCAGCUCAGAAACUAACAACUGCAUGAUGUAAA